UUACUUUUAUGAUUUUUGAUUUCCCUCACAGAUGAACGCUGGCGGCGUGCCUAAUACAUGCAAGUCGAACGCACAGCGAAAGGUGCUUGCACCUUUUCAAGUGAGUGGCGAACGGGUGAGUAACACGUGGACAACCUGCCUCAAGGCUGGGGAUAACAUUUGGAAACAGAUGCUAAUACCGAAUAAAACUUAGUGUCGCAUGACACAAAGUUAAAAGGCGCUUCGGCGUCACCUAGAGAUGGAUCCGCGGUGCAUUAGUUAGUUGGUGGGGUAAAGGCCUACCAAGACAAUGAUGCAUAGCCGAGUUGAGAGACUGAUCGGCCACAUUGGGACUGAGACACGGCCCAAACUCCUACGGGAGGCUGCAGUAGGGAAUCUUCCACAAUGGGCGAAAGCCUGAUGGAGCAACGCCGCGUGUGUGAUGAAGGCUUUCGGGUCGUAAAGCACUGUUGUAUGGGAAGAACAGCUAGAAUAGGAAAUGAUUUUAGUUUGACGGUACCAUACCAGAAAGGGACGGCUAAAUACGUGCCAGCAGCCGCGGUAAUACGUAUGUCCCGAGCGUUAUCCGGAUUUAUUGGGCGUAAAGCGAGCGCAGACGGUUUAUUAAGUCUGAUGUGAAAGCCCGGAGCUCAACUCCGGAAUGGCAUUGGAAACUGGUUAACUUGAGUGCAGUAGAGGUAAGUGGAACUCCAUGUGUAGCGGUGGAAUGCGUAGAUAUAUGGAAGAACACCAGUGGCGAAGGCGGCUUACUGGACUGCAACUGACGUUGAGGCUCGAAAGUGUGGGUAGCAAACAGGAUUAGAUACCCUGGUAGUCCACACCGUAAACGAUGAACACUAGGUGUUAGGAGGUUUCCGCCUCUUAGUGCCGAAGCUAACGCAUUAAGUGUCCGC
rnacentral:rRNA from 1 species